CUUGGGCUCCUCCCCGGCUCCUCCCCCGGGCCGGCUGGGCAAGAACCCGAGAAGGUGGCAGCGGAAACCGGAGCCCGGCGCCGGGCGGCCGCAAGGGCCUCGGCCCGGAGAGCUCCGCCGCCGCUUGCCAAGGUGGAGACUGAGGCCUGGAGCGGUGAAGGACCCUGCCUAGGCCACUACUGUGUGGCGGAGGGAUAAAGCCCAAUGGAAACCCUGGACUGUCUGCUCCCCAGUCUGGGCUACUCCUCUCCAGGGUGAAAACAUCCUGACCCCCCUCAGGAGUGUCCAUCUUGGGCACUGAGUCCCCCAAGGGAAGGAAGGGCUGAGCCUGCCUGGAGCCAGCUGGAACUUGGUGGGAAACCUCCAGCCACCUGAGAUAAGGUCAAACCAAGCAGGGUGUGGAGGUGCACACUUGUAAUCCCGACACUUUGUAAACUGAGGCAGGAGGAUCACCAUGAGUUCAACGCCAGCCUGGGCUACAUGGUGAGUGCCAGGCCAGUUUGGAAUACAUAGCAAGACCUUGUCUCAAAAUGCAAAAACCAAAACAAUAACAAAAGAUCCAACCAUAUGGUUUGUUCUGCAACAUGUUAUUUUGCUCUUAAUAUUUCCAUGCAAUAAACAUGUGUACACAUCCA